rnacentral:rRNA from 1 species
AUUGAACGCUGGCGGCAGGCUUAACACAUGCAAGUCGAGCGGAGAUGAGGUGCUUGCACCUUAUCUUAGCGGCGGACGGGUGAGUAAUGCUUAGGAAUCUGCCAUUUAGUGGGGGACAACAUUCCGAAAGGAACGCUAAUACCGCAUACGUCCUACGGGAGAAAGCAGGGGAUCUUCGGACCUUGCGCUAAAUGAUGAGCCUAAGUCGGAUUAGCGAGUUGGUGGGGUAAAGGCCUACCAAGGCGACGAUCUGUAGCGGGUCUGAGAGGAUGAUCGGCCACACUGGGACUGAGACACGGCCCAGACUCCUACGGGAGGCAGCAGUGGGGAAUAUUGGACAAUGGGCGGAAGCCUGAUCCAGCCAUGCCGCGUGUGUGAAGAAGGCCUUUUGGUUGUAAAGCACUUUAAGCGAGGAGGAGGCUACUGAGACUAAUACUCUUGGAUAGUGGACGUUACUCGCAGAAUAAGCACCGGCUAACUCUGUGCCAGCAGCCGCCGUAACAC